UUCUUUCGUCUACCUUCCGAAGCAUUAUAUCAUUGAAUAACUAUUAGUGUGACGCUUCUCAUCUGGCGCCAUGAAAAUGAUUCUUAACAUUUUAGCUUCUACAGUUAACAAUUUACAUGCUGGCAUGUAGAGAUAGAAAAACUCCGAAGAUCAGUGAUACUGCUUUAUAUAAAACAUAUGCCACUCUUACAAUAAACCGUCCAAAAUAACACUAGACAUAGCAGCAUAAACUUGCGGAGUCUUGUGUUGCUGGUCUCCUCAACACAUCACCAGCAAAUGUAAACAUAUAGGUGAGUCAUAACAUUAAACGUGCUUGAGAAAGUUUACAAUAUAUACAGUGUAUACUGGACUGGAUAAUUAUCUUGAAAUGUCACCUAUUCCAGAUAUGCGGAGAUUUAUGUAGCUGUUGAAAGGCUGUCUAAAAUCUAAGCAAAAAGAAAUUGUCUAAAUAUAACAUUUCACACAUGCCUAAUACUAAAAGGGAGGUAUUAAUCACACCUACAGAUGCUGAUUAAUAUUUUCAUAAUUUUCAGUUCACUAUCAGAGAUGAAUAUGUUUCUAACUCCUAAGUGAGUGGUAGGUAGGCAGCCUCGUCCCCUCUACUUCAUAUCAACACACACUCAAGGUAAACUCACUACUCUCAUAUCAACACACACUCAAGGUAAACUCACUACUCUCAUAUCAACACACA